AUUGAACGCUGGCGGCAGGCCUAACACAUGCAAGUCGAACGAGUGGCGGACGGGUGAGUAAUGUCUGGGAAACUGCCUGAUGGAGGGGGAUAACUACUGGAAAUGGUAGCUACUACCGAAUACCAUCAGAUGUGCCCAGAUGGGAUUAGAUAGUAGGUGGGGUAACGGCUCACCUAGGCGACGAUCCCUAGCUGGUAUGCGAGGAUGAACAGCCACACUGGGACUGAGACACGGUCCAGACUCCUACGGGAGGCAGCAGUGGGGAAGAUUGCACAAUGGGCGCAAGCCUGAUGCAGCCAGGCCGCGUGUGUGAAGAAGGCCUUCGGGUUGUAAAGCACUUUCAGCGGGGAGGCUUUACCCGCAGAAGAAGCACCGGCUAACGCCGUGCCAGCAGCCGCGGUAAUAC
rnacentral:rRNA from 1 species